ensembl:lncRNA
AGGACAAUUUUCCAUUAUGGUUUGUUUCUAUUCUCGUACAAUGUGUCAUGGAGAUGAUGAGCGUCUGUAGCUCCUGCAGAGAUGGGCUGUACUCAGUCUAAGGCGGCGGGGGUUUACACCCGGGACCCGGUGUGCCCGGACCUGGACACCUGCUCCACUUUUGUUCCCAGCUUGAAGAGCUGCGUGUCGACCCCAGAGAGACCUGGGCCGUGUGAGGAGACCAGCAAUGUGAGGCAAACCUUCCUCGAUGUUCCCCGCCGAGGCGUCCCAGGGCGGGCAGUGAGCCCGUCCUCCCCCCUGGAAUCCUGGAGCUCAGCGCCCGGAGCGGGUCACCGGAGCACCAAGAACCGCAGCCCGGCUGGGGACCUGCACAGGGGUACCGUGGGCUGCUGGACCGCCUGAGACGCGAGGACACCGAGGACAUCAGAAAUAGAUUUUGAAAUACGCCUUUGGAUAUAAUAUUUGCCCUUUGAUUCAGAACGAAAGCAUUAUAUCCCAUGUGUGAUGGAGCAACUGUAGCAGGGCCAUCAAAUAUAUUAUGGAGUAUAAUGAAUGGUUGAGACAACACUUUAUAGUUAAACGGCUUUAUACAUUUGUUAAAAUGCAUUGCACUCCGCUUUAACCGCUGAUACUAAUGGACAUUGUUUUAGUUCUUAACCGGCACUGUAACUUUUAUUCCAUUGUUGGCUU